rnacentral:rRNA from 1 species
UUAGCUUGUUGGUAGGGUAGUGGCCUACCAAGGCGAUGAUGGGUAGCUGGUCUGAGAGGAUGAUCAGUUACACUGGAACUGGUAUAUGGUUUAGACUCCUACGGGAGGUGGUAGUGAGGAAUUUUGCGCAAUGGGCGAAAGCCUGACGCAGCAACGCCGCGUGAGUGAUGAAGGCCCUCGGGUCGUAAAGCUCUGUCAAGUGGGAAGAAACCGGUUCGUGUUAAUAUCACGUUCCGUUGAUGGUACCACUGAAGGAAGCACCGGCUAACUCCGUGCCAGUAGUUGUGGUAGUACGGAGGGUGCAAGCGUUAUUCGGAAUCACUGGGCGUAAAGGGCGCGUAGGCGGCUUGGUAAGUUAAAUGUGAGGGUUUGGGGUUUGGUUUUGGGGGUGUAUUUAGAAUUGUCAGGCUUGAGUAUGGGAGAGGGAAGUGGAAUUCCUGGUGUAGAGGUGAGGUUUGUGGAUGUUGGGAGGAACACCGGUGGUGAGGGUGACUUCCUGGACCAAUACUGACGCUGAGGCGCGAAGGCGUGGGUAGUAAAUAGGAUUAGAUAUUUUGGUAGUUUACGCAGUAAACGGUGUUCACUAGGUGUAGUGGGUAUUGAUUUUUGUUGUGUUGUGGUUAAUGCAUUAAGUGAACCGCCUGGGGAGUACGGCCGCAAGGCUAAAACUCAAAGGAAUUGACGGGGGCCCGCAUAAGCGGUGGAGCAUGUGGUUUAAUUUGAUGCAAUGUGAAGAAUUUUACCUGGAUUUGACAUUUCGGGAAUUUUGUGGGAGUUUAGAGGUGCCCUUCGGGGAACCCGGUGACAGGUGCUGCAUGGCUGUCGUCAGCUCGUGUUGUGAGAUGUUGGGUUGAGUUUCGCAACGAGCGCAACCCUUAUCUUUAGUUACCAUCAUUUAGUUGGGGACUCUAAAGAUACUGCCCCGGUUAACGGGGAGGAAGGUGGGGAUGACGUCAAGUCCUUAUGGCCCUUAUGUCCAGGGCUACACACGUGCUAUAAUGGGCUGUACAGAGGGUCGCGAUCCCGCGAGGGGGAGCCAAUCCCAAAAAGCAGUUCUUAGUUCGGAUUGGAGUCUGUAAUUUGACUCCAUGAAGUUGGAAUUGCUAGUAAUCGCGGAUCAGCAUGUUGUGGUGAAUAUGUUUUCGGGCCUUGUACACACCGCCCGUCACACCAUGAGAGUUGAUUGUACCGGAAGUUGUUGGGCCAACCUUUUGAGGGGGCAGGUACCGAUGGUAUGAUUGAUGAUUGGGGUGAAGUUGUAAUAGGGUA